CACCGUCUUGAUAAGGCGGGGGUCGUAGGUUCAAGUCCUACCAGACCCACCAAGUUACGGACGGUGGAAGAUGUUC
rnacentral:tRNA from 1 species